GGAAAGUGUAAUAACUCUAAUAACAGGAAGGUUUCCAUAUGCUGACUCAACGAAUAUUGUUGCUGACUCAGCACUCUAUAUGCAAUUUUAAAUCAGCUAGCUAGCUAGACAUGUACGUAGUUCUAGUGAGGCAGAGCUCAUGUCAAUGAUUCUUCCAGAGACUAGACUCAUGCAUAUACACUACUGUGGACUAGACUCAUCUACUUGUAAGAAGGUAAAAGGUAUAUAAAAAGGAGGAACCUCAGUCUGAUUAUUACACUUUAUCAAUACCUGCUUCUAUACAACUACAGGUAGUACUGUACUGUAUGUAGGUGGCUGUUGAUUAUGUCAAGAAUUGCCAGCAUGAACUCGUGAGCAUCUUCUUGGUUUAUACCUGUUUGGAGCGUGGGCUGGACAGAAGGGUUAUGGCUGCCAGUGAUGCAUCUCAAUAAAAAACUGAGAGUUUCCAGAGGAAGAAACGUGGGAUACAUGCAGCCUCACUAUACAUGAUAACUUUUCACUUCACUUCACUUCCCUGAACAUAAUUUCUGUUACAAGUUUACAUCGAAUGUGCAUUAAUAGUCUCUGUACCAUGA